rnacentral:rRNA from 1 species
UACGGAGGAUCCAAGCGUUAUCCGGAAUCAUUGGGUUUAAAGGGUCCGUAGGCGGUUUGGUAAGUCAGUGGUGAAAGCCCUUCGCUCAACGGAGGAACGGCCAUUGAUACUGCCAGACUUGAAUUACUGGGAAGUAACUAGAAUAUGUAGUGUAGCGGUGAAAUGCUUAGAUAUUACAUGGAAUACCAAUUGCGAAGGCAGGUUACUACCAGUGGAUUGACGCUGAUGGACGAAAGCGUGGGGAGCGAACAGG